rnacentral:rRNA from 1 species
UACAGAGGGUGCAAGCGUUAAUCGGAAUUACUGGGCGUAAAGCGUGCGUAGACGGUUAUGUAAGUCAGAUGUGAAAGCCCCGGGCUCAACCUGGGAAUGGCAAUGGAUACUGGCAAGCUAGAGUGCGGUAGAGGGUAGUGGAAUUCCCGGUGUAGCGGUGAAAUGCGUAGAGAUCGGGAGGAACACCAGUGGCGAAGGCGGCUACCUGGACCAGCACUGACACUGAGGCACGAAAGCGUGGGGAGCAAACAGG